GAUGAGGUCCACCGGUUCCCAUAUUGGAGCUGGAGAGGGUGGCAUGAGGCACGCAUGGUGCAGAAUGGGUGACUCUAGUCUACGAGGGGAUCAACACUGAAAUUCAAGCGUCUAGUUCCUGGAUAUUCAGGACUGCAAGUCUUGAAUGGUGGAGUAAAGGAACAUAACAGCCCUUAUAGACUAGGUAAGGAGAAAAGAGAGUGAGAGAAUUUGGCAUAGAGGAAGAGGAAGAAGGAAAGAGGGGGAGAGAGAGAGAGAGAGAGAGAGAGAGAGAGAGAGAGAGAGAGAGAUUAUGAAUCACAGGAGAGAGUACUAUUUCUUCUCCAGCAAGCCAAUUUCUUUUGAAGUCAGGCCUGUAAGAGGAGCUAUGAGCCUGAAAAAAACGGGAAAGCUGGAAAGCUGUGUCUGUGGCUGCUGCUGAGCUGGGCUCAGAGAUCAAAAAUAUCGAAAUUUGGACUCAAACAAUGUAGAAGCUGGAGAAUGUGGAGAAGUAUUGUGUAAUACUGUCAUCUGGACAGGGCUUGGACAUUAGAAAAUGGCUUCAGAGUAGCUGUGGCUAUCCACACAAGACCUGCAGAAGCUGAGCUGGUUAAAAGUCCAACAUGAAGGGGCAAGUGAAAUCAUUAGCAGUUGACUGCUACUGAGUUCAGAAGAGUUACUUUGUUUUUUGUUUGUUUGUUUGUUUGAGAGUGUCAUAGCCAGUAGGUUCACCAUAGUCCCACAGAUGACCCGAUAUGACGGGCAUAUGAGCAGCACUCACUGGAUACAGUGGGUUAAGUUUGUUGAAGCCAUAUCCAUGAUUACAAAAGGAGAACAUGACCUUGGGAGGAAGAUGAGAUGUUUUCUGGGUAAGUUAAAGUUGAGGAGUGAGGGGUAAAUAUGACCAAAAUACAUCGCCCAAAUGUAAACAAUUAUGGAAGAAUAAAUAAAAUAUUAAAAUGAAUAAGAAAUCCAGACUAAAUAAAACUGGACAUUCUGGGAAUCAAUAUAAUUGAAAGGAACAUCAAUGAAGCUAUGUCAUAAGAUGGGGAAUAGAUUGCAUCUGUGCUCAAGGCUUUCUUUGUACCAUCAAGUUUCAGAUACUCUCCGCUGAGAGUUCAGGAGGACAACACACAUUUCUAAUAGUAGCGUAAAAAUAGAUUUGAAAACUAUGUGGAAACCAAAAAUAUAUAGUAUAUAUGUUAAGCUGAAGAUGGAUCUGUCAAAAUGUAAUUUCCUGUCAAAAUGUAAUUGGUGACUCAAAACACUACUUAAAGCUGAUAAGUCAGGUAUCUAAAUAUUAUUUGAUGGCUGAACAUAUAUUUAAUCCUAAUUGAAUUAAUUAAACUAAUUGUAAGUUAAUUUUACUGAACACGACUCUGUAGAACAUAGUGCUUGUUUCUUAUUAUGUGAAUAAAGUGUUAAAAGCCAAUAAUUGCUUGUAGAAAAUAAACUUCAUUAUAAGGUGUAAUGAGAUCAAGAAGUAUAUUUUGAUUAGAAAAAAAUGUUUGGGCUUCUGAAAUAAAUGGUGAAUGAAACAUUGAUUUUUCUUUAAUAAUAAAACCAUUCACCCAUUUCUGUGACUAUU